GACAAGUGGAUAAAGAUUGGUGAUGGCGAAGGGCUCUCGUUGUGGUGGGAACGGGAUGAAGGUGGGGUGGUCGAAAGCGGUGAAAUUAUGAGAAAUUGAGAGACGAGUCACAAGCACAAAAGAAAGGAGGACUAGACCAGACCAGCGAGAGUGAGGGAGUGAGGGAGUGAGGGAGGGAGGGAGGGGUCCAUGAAAUGAAAUCGGCGCCAUCGUCGUCUUUACUCUUUCUGGUGCCACGUGGCUGCUAUUCUUGUUCCUGUGUCAAGUUUGUUAUAAUGGCCAAGGGCAACAACAAGAAGAAAAAGUCUCAGCAAAAUCCAUCUCCUACUCCAAUGGGCUCCGACCCAAGUCCUCCCAGGAUUACAUCAAAUGUCAGGCAGAAUUUACAGCUUUUGAAGUUAUGGAAGGAGUACCAAAAGAGAAAGUCUAGCACACCUAAGCACUCUACCAGUUACCGCAGAAAGAAGGUGCCCAAGGAACAGCUUCCAGAAGACUUAGACCUCUAUCGUGAUCCAACCACCACCCUCUACUAUACAAACCAGGGUUGGGACAUUGCAGUUCCGGUCUUGCUUGUUGAUGGGUAUAACGUAUGCGGUUAUUGGGCGAAGCUGAAGAAGCAUUUUAUCAAUGGGAGACUUGAAAUGGCUCGCCAAAAGUUAAUCGAUGAACUUGUAACUUUCAGCUUGCUACGAGAGGUGAAAGUGGUGGCUGUAUUUGAUGCCAUGAUGUCUGGACUCCCAACACACAAGGAAGAUUUUAAUGGUGUCGAUGUAGUUUACUCAGGUGAAUCUUGUGCUGAUGCGUGGAUUGAGAAAGAGGUGAGGAAUGACUUGAAGCUGAAACCAACUUUAGAAUUGUGCAGUCACUUCAAAAGUGAAAUAAAGCUAUGUUUGUUUACCUGAUUUGGGUCUGCGGUUCUUAUUUAAUUGGUUGCAGCCUUGAGGGAGGAUGGAUGUCCUAAAGUUUGGGUUGUGACUUCUGAUCAUAUUCAGCAGCAUGCAGCACAUGGAGCAGGAGCCUUCAUUUGGAGUUGCAAGGCGUUGGUUUCUGAGAUUAAAGCAUCAGAAAAGGAGUUUGAGAGGAUGCUUCAGGAACACAGGUCUACUUCUUUUCAAGGGAGGUUAUUAAAGCACAAUCUUGAUUCAGAAGUUGUAGAUGCUCUCAAGGAUCUCAGGAGGAAGUUAUCUGAAACUGAAUCAAAGUAGUUGAUCAGGUUUUGUUUCAGAUCAAGAUCUCAAGGAUCUUAGAAGGAAGUUAUCCGAUGCUUGUCCUGUACAUAAGUAUAGGUUGAUGUACUGGCGUCAUCCUUCAGAAAUCAAUCCCUGGCCAUAGAAGUUGUCAAUUUGUACCAUGUUAUAUAAGGCACUCAAAAAUUGUUUGGAUUUGGAUCAUUUGACAGUUGUACCUCAAAAAAUUUGGCAAUAAAAUUUUAGUAACAGAGUUUGUCAGCUUCAA